rnacentral:rRNA from 1 species
GAGACCUCCGGUCAGGCGGGGCUACCCGCUGAAUU